UUCAUCAAACAAUUCAUGAGCAUCCAUUGAACUAUCACAUCAAAUAUACAUUACAAGAAUCCGAUUCAAAAUGUACAACUAAGUUCAUUAUCGAGCGGUGUAUGACAAUUCAAAGGAGAGAUAUCAAUCUCAAAACCCAUAGAUCAUUGUGCGCACCCAUAAAUCCUCAAUAAAUCAAACCAUUCCAUUCCGAGAAAGUACAUCAUUCAAGAUUCUGAAGCCAUUAGCGUAGGUAGCAAAACAAAACUCAACCACGUCGUAAUCUACCCCAGGAAAAAGAAGAAGAAGAAGAAAAAGAAGAGGAAUUCAUAAUAAAACUAAAAGGCGACUAUCCAAAGAUUUGCGACACUAACAAAAAUAACGAAACACAAAUAAGCACGAUUUGAAAAAUAAAAACUCUGCCGGUAUUUUGAAACAAUCUCAGAUCUAGAACCCAGAAUACUCCAAUUUGGUAAUUUUUUUGUAAAACCACAAUCCUAGAGACACUGCGUGUAGCCUACAAUACAAUUCAUUUAAUGCACAAAAAGUCACCAUCAAGAACACAUGUUGCAUCUUUUCCCUUGCUUUUUUUUUUUUUUUUUGGUGGGUUCUGUAAAAAAAACAAAACACAUCUCACUAAAUU
rnacentral:lncRNA from 1 species